rnacentral:rRNA from 1 species
GAUCAUGGCUCAGGAUGAACGCUAGCGACAGGCUUAACACAUGCAAGUCGAGGGGCAGCAUGAUUUGUAGCAAUACAGAUUGAUGGCGACCGGCGCACGGGUGAGUAACACGUAUCCAACCUUCCCGUUACUCUGGAAUAGCCUUUCGAAAGAAAGAUUAAUACCGGAUAGUAUCGAGAGAUUGCAUGAUUACCCGAUUAAAGAUUCAUCGGUAACGGAUGGGGAUGCGUU